rnacentral:misc_RNA from 1 species
CAACCCUCAAGCCCCUCCGGGCGUGGCGUUGGGGAUCGGCCCCGCUCCGGCGGCCGGCCCCGAAAUGUAGUGGCGGUCUCGCCGCUGCCUCCUCUGCGUAGUAGAAACACCUCGCAUUGGGACGCGGCGGGCCCACGCCGUUAACCAGUUGAAUUUUCUUCAA